GCUUGGCUGGCUCAGUCGGUUUGGUGUCUGACUUCGGCUCAGGUCAUGAUCUCACGGUUCGUGGGUUCAAGCCCUGCGUCAGGCU
rfam:Felis catus isolate Cinnamon breed Abyssinian chromosome D1, whole genome shotgun sequence.